rnacentral:rRNA from 1 species
GGUUAGUUUUACCCUACUGAUGAAGCGGUUACCGCGACAGUAAUCCAAUUUAGUACGAGAGGAACCGUUGGUUCACGCAAUUGGCACUUGCCGUUGACUGAAACGUCAGUGCGGCGAAGCUACCGCGUGCCGGAUUAAGGCUGAACGCCUCUAAGCCCGAAUCCAUGCUGAAAAGCGGUGAUACGAGCUUUCUCUUUUUGUGAAGGCGCAUACGCACAGGUGCUCUGGUUCUUUGGGGCCAGGGCACUCAGAUCAUAACAUGGCAACGGCCCUUGGCGGCCGCCAGAAACGGCGGCUCCAGGCGACGCCGAAGCUCCGGUCCAAACAGAGAGAAGGACAAAUCCUUUGCAGACGACUUAAUUACAGAACGGGGUAUUGUACGUGCAAGAGUGGCCUCUGUGCCACGAUUCACUGAGAUUCAG